GACUAACGCUGGCGGUGUGCUUCAUACAUGCAAGUCGAACGGGCCCUUCGGGGCUAGUGGCGGACGGGUGAGUAACGCGUAGGUAAUCUACCCUUGGCUGGGGGAUAACACCGGGAAACCGGUGCUAAUACCGCAUAAGUGAUCGGCUGAAAUGCUUAUCAUUAAAGUUCCGGCGGCCAAGGAUGAGCCUGCGUUGGAUUAGCUUGGUUGGUGGGGUAAAGGCCUACCAAGGCGAUGACGGGUAGCUGGUCUGAGAGGACGACCAGUCACACUGGAACUGAGACACGGUCCAGACACCUACGGGUGGCAGCAGUCGAGUAAUUUUUGACAAGUGGGGGAAACCCUGAUCGAGCGACGCCGCGUGGAGGAUGAAGGUUCUUCGGGUUGUAAACUCUGUCAUUUGAGAACAAGGUGCACCGGUUAACUGCCGGUGCAUUGAUAGUA
rnacentral:rRNA from 1 species